CCUACGGGUGGCAGCAGUGAGGAAUAUUGGUCAAUGGGCGGAAGCCUGAACCAGCAAAGUAGCGUGCGGGCUGAAGGCCCUACGGGUCGUAAACCGCUUUUGCACGGGGAUAACACCCUCCAAUUGAGGGGGUCUGCAGGGACCGUGCGAUUAAGGGCCGUCUAAUUCCGCGCCAGGAGCCGCGGUAAUAUGGAAGUCCCGGACGUUAUCCGGUUUGAUUGGGCUGAAAGGGAACGUAGGCUGGCGUUGAAGUCAGCUGUAAAAUCGCGCGGCUCAACCGCGCCCCGCAGUGGAAACUAGACGACUUGAGUUCACAACAGGCAGGCGGAAUUCGUGGUGUAGCGGUGAAAUGCAUAGAUAUCACGAGGAACCCCGAUGGCGAAGGCAGCCUGCUGGGUUUCGACUGACGCUGAGGCUCGAAGGUGCGGGUAUCAAACAGGAUUAGAUACCCUUGUAGUC
rnacentral:rRNA from 1 species